AACGUAGGAGACAAACGUUAUCCGGAGUUACUGGGCGUAAAGGGCGUGUAGGUGGUUUCGUAAGUCUGGCGUGAAAUUUCUCGGCUUAACCGAGGCAGGUCGUCGGAUACUGCGGAACUUGAGGACGGUAGAGGCGUGUGGAAUUCCGGGUAUAGUGGUGAAAUGCGUAGAGAUCCGGAGGAACACCAGUGGCGAAGGCGACACGCUGGGCCGUACCUGACACUGAUGCGCGACAGCAUGGGGAGCAAACAGG
rnacentral:rRNA from 1 species